AGACCGAUAGCAAACAAGUACCGUGAGGGAAGAUUGAAAAGAACUUUGAAGAGAGAGUUCAAUAGUACGUGAAACUGUGUGGUGGUAAACGGAGGGGUUCUCGAAGUUUCCGUGGGGAACUCAACCUUGGUGGUCUGCAGCCUUGUCGUAUUUGAUCAGCAAUGACUUUGCGGCUUGUCCUGCUCUCCUCUCGGGUGCAUUUCCCCCGCGGUUCACGACAGGAACCGUUUGGCUUGAACCGAAGGGCUUGGGUGAAGUUGUUGGUUCUGCUGGCAGCCCCUUGUUCCUGGCUUCACGCCAGACGGGUACGGGAGAGGACUCGUAUAUCGAGCAAUGCUCUGUUGCCGUUCUCAUCUCUCUGUCGAGUAGGUCGGUGGCCCCUCCGACCCGUCUUGAAACACGGAC
rnacentral:rRNA from 1 species